ensembl:lncRNA
CUGAAAACAGAUAUUGAUAUGAAUUGAUAGACAGUGAGUUUUAAGGUUUGUUUAUUUAUAUAAAGAUACAUGCAUCUGCACUAACUCCAGAUAUUGUGUGGAUUUGUCUCCUUAAUUGAAACCCCUAAUAUUAUGCUAUGCUUUAUCAUGAAAACACCCCAAAGUGCUUCAAGCAAAUCAUAUUAACACGCACAUUUUAAUAAUUCCAGCUGAAUGUGUGUAUAUGUGUAUGUGUUGCAGCAGGAUUUCAUAGGGUAGCGUCUUCUUAUGACACACUAAGAUUAACCAUGGGAUUUUCGCAGGCCGCGGGAGGUGUGUGGGGGCCAUGCGGGAUUAAAUUAGGCACACAGGGGCUUAUGGGAACCGAAGGACAGCGCAGGCACUGAUACCACACAGCUCACCUGAGCGAGCGUGUCCUUGAGAGAUAGGAGUCUGUAAUCCCUGUGCCUCCGCUGGGAACGCCGGGAAUGCGCCGUGAAUUCAUGCAUCAGGCUUAAGGUCACACUCGCUCACUCCAGUCAAUGCUGGAUUUGCUGUAUGUGCAUCUACAUGCACAAGUGAAGUGACUGACAGAACUAGCCUUCCUGUGCUCCCCUGGGCGAGGAGGAAACUUUGGGGCCGAAGCGAUUGCUGCCGUUUGAAGCCGCCGGGCCCUCAUUCCCAUCGCCGGGCUUCAAAGACGAUCUGGCCACAGAUGCACCGUUAACCUGGAGAUUUAAACAAGUGAUGCUGCAGUGUGGCCACAUUGAAAUGCUGAGAUGAGAUUUUGAAGCUCUUGCUGUUUUGUGAACUGCAGCUGGACAGAGGUAGUUUUGGCAAGCCCUCACACCACUGACCUGAAGUGGAUCUCCACAGAUUUAACAACUGUACUCGAGAUAUGUGAUGGAAUUGAGCUUUAACAUCUAAAAGUAAUCUGUCAAUGUUGAUUAAAGGAAUGGUUCCCCCAAAAAUGACAAAUUUGCUGAAAAAUGACACCCUCAGGCCAUCCAAGAUGUAGAUGAGUUUGUUUCUUAAUUAGAUUUGGAUAAAUUCAGCAUUUCAUCACUUGCUCACCAAUGGAUUCUCUGCAGUGAAUGGGUGCCGUCAGAAUGAAAGUCCAUGCAGUUGAUAAAAACAUCACAAUAAUCCACACCAAGUGAAAAGUGGCAUAUUUGUAAGAAACAAAUCAAUUAUAAAAUAACUUUAAACCAUUGCUUCUGGCCUAAAAAGAAUCUCAUUCUGACGGCACCCAUUUUGGGAUGACCUUUAAAUUAGUUUCAUCCCACUAUAUAAAAAACACAAUCUAAACAUCAAGUUCGUCAAACAGAAAACUUGUGUUCUAUUAUUUGCACUAACAUCUGAUGAAAUUGGAUGUUUGUUUAACACAUACAUUAUUGGAUUUUUU